rnacentral:rRNA from 1 species
UACGGGGGGGGCAAGCGUUGUUCGGAAUUACUGGGCGUAAAGGGUUCGUAGGUGGCCAACUAAGUCGGAUGUGAAAUCCCCAGGCUUAACCUGGGAAUGGCAUCCGAUACUGGAGGGCUUGAAUUCGGGAGAGGGAUGCAGAAUUCCAGGUGUAGCGGUGAAAUGCGUAGAUAUCUGGAGGAAUACCGGUGGCGAAGGCGGCAUCCUGGACCAAUACUGACGCUCAGGUGCGAAAGCGUGGGGAGCAAACAGG